rnacentral:miRNA from 1 species
ACCUUUAAUCGCCCCAGCAAAUG